AAACCGUUCAGGGGUAAACCUAAGAAACCCAAAAGAUCGAACGGGGAGAUUCAUCGUCAGCGACGCUGGCUUCGCGUCGGUCGGCGAUGUCCCGCCGAGCAGCGUUCUUCGAGCGCGGUUCGAGCGCGGGCACGCCACCGUGCGUCGACGUCCGGCGAUCGUCGUCGUGCACUUCUCCCCCGGUAGAACGUCGCGACCCGCCGGGUGUCGGUCUACGGCCCGAGUGCGGCGACUGUCGCGUCGCCGGUAAAACGGCACGCGGCAGACCCUCGGUCGCCCGACCGGCUGCCCGACGGUACGCGCAUGGUAUCAGGCCGCAUACGCGCGCGCGCACAUUGUUGCGCGUUGCGCGUUGUGCGUCGAGACCGCGGCAAGCGCGCGCCCACGGUACACGGCGGUACGGACUCAGCGCCGUCCCCUGUCCUGGCCCGCUGUUGGCAAACGCGGUUUACACCUUCGACAGGCCUUUGAGCGCGCGCGCGCUCUCCCCUUUGCGGGGACGAGCUCGCGCGCGGAUACCGGUCGGCGACGCUACAGCUUUGGGUACUCUCAGGA
rnacentral:rRNA from 1 species